CUGCGGAAGGAUCAUUACCGAGUGUAGGGUUCCUAGCGAGCCCAACCUCCCACCCGUGUUUACUGUACCUUAGUUGCUUCGGCGGGCCCGCCAUUCAUGGCCGCCGGGGGCUCUCAGCCCCGGGCCCGCGCCCGCCGGAGACACCACGAACUCUGUCUGAUCUAGUGAAGUCUGAGUUGAUUGUAUCGCAAUCAGUUAAAACUUUCAACAAUGGAUCUCUUGGUUCCGGCAUCGAUGAAGAACGCAGCGAAAUGCGAUAACUAGUGUGAAUUGCAGAAUUCCGUGAAUCAUCGAGUCUUUGAACGCACAUUGCGCCCCCUGGUAUUCCGGGGGGCAUGCCUGUCCGAGCGUCAUUGCUGCCCAUCAAGCACGGCUUGUGUGUUGGGUCGUCGUCCCCUCUCCGGGGGGGACGGGCCCCAAAGGCAGCGGCGGCACCGCGUCCGAUCCUCGAGCGUAUGGGGCUUUGUCACCCGCUCUGUAGGCCCGGCCGGCGCUUGCCGAACGCAAAUCAAUCUUUUUCCAGGUUGACCUCGGAUCAGGUAGGAUACCCGCUGACU
rnacentral:rRNA from 1 species